UGGGGAAUUUUGGACAAUGGGGGGAAACCCUGAUCCAGCCAUCCCGCGUGUGCGAUGAAGGCCUUCGGGUUGUAAAGCACUUUUGGCAGGAAAGAAACGUCGCGGGUUAAUACCCCGCGGAACUGACGGUACCUGCAGAAUAAGCACCGGCUAACUACGUGCCAGCAGCCGCGGUAAUACGUAGGGUGCAAGCGUUAAUCGGAAUUACUGGGCGUAAAGCGUGCGCAGGCGGUUCGGAAAGAAAGAUGUGAAAUCCCAGAGCUUAACUUUGGAACUGCAUUUUUAACUACCGGGCUAGAGUGUGUCAGAGGGAGGUGGAAUUCCGCGUGUAGCAGUGAAAUGCGUAGAUAUGCGGAGGAACACCGAUGGCGAAGGCAGCCUCCUGGGAUAACACUGACGCUCAUGCACGAAAGCGUGGGGAGCAAACAGGAUUAGAUACCCUGGUAGUCCACGCCCUAAACGAUGUCAACUAGCUGUUGGGGUCUUCGGACCUUGGUAGCGCAGCUAACGCGUGAAGUUGACCGCCUGGGGAGUACGGUCGCAAGAUUAAAACUC
rnacentral:rRNA from 1 species